CACGGAUACAGAGGGUGGGUGUGUGCACUUCAGUCAUAAUGCUGACUGUCGCAGAAGACCACUUGACUCAGUGCGCAGACACGCAAAUGCAAGCUCAUCUGGAGACUCUACUGAGGUGGUAGGAUGGUAAUGGAAUGUUCAGAAUAGGAGUGUGAUGGGAGGGGCACACAGGUCUUUACUGACCUUUGGGAAAUCAGUCUAUGACAGCUAUAUAUUCGAAAUCAUUUAAGAAAGUAACAAUAGCGUCAGUCUAGGUAUUUACUGUUAUGAAGCCUUCUGAGGGAAUGAGCUGAGAGAGUUGCUUUUUCAGAGCCUGCCGUGGGGGCCCCAGGGGUCGGGUGGGCUCUGAACCAUCUAAGACAUGACUGUGUCAGUGGACUAAGCCCAGAGGCCGUACUAAGUCCAAAUCUGACAGUAACCCCCAGAUGGCCGGGUCAGAGGCACAAUGCUGAUAGGCAGUUCAGACUUCCUAAGCCCCUCACCUCUUAGGGGUCAUAAGUGAAAACCCUGAGAAAACCACCAAGAAUUUUGUGCAGUUUCGGUAGAAGUGGGGAGCCCAGUGAAUAAGGGCAUUUAAGGACCCAAGGGAUUGACUGGAGGAACACGAAGGAUUCGUGCCCGAAGUUGGUGCUGCAGGUGGCCCGAGCUGCUGCUGGAGCAGGGCCCUGCCAACCUGGGCCUUUCUGUCCGCCCCUCCUCUGAGGACUGUCCUCUCCCGGCCCACGGCCCCUCAGAGAGGAGGGUUCAGGGCCGGCAGACAGCCCAGAGCUCACAGAGGCCCCCCUUUUGCAACAUCCAUAUGGGAGCCCUGAAUAAAUUCUUCAGGAAGAAGAAAACCAUCUUUCCAAGAGGUGGCAAGUUUAGAAGCAUGGGUUGUCGGAGAUGAGGAUGAAAAGCCUUGACAAGAACUUUACCUGAUUCUCAGACUCCUUGGAAGAAUGACCUAAAACAUAUUUGUGUUAUGUAUUAUCUUUUUAAGGUCUGAUGCAGAACAAGAAUUGAUGAUGUAAUUGCAUUGCUCUGUCCCCUGGCCCAGCGUUUGGCCUUUGGCGCUGCCCCCUGGCAUGAGGGGUAUUUCCCAUUCCACCUCCCGGGAGGACGAACAUCCUCACGGGGUGUCCGAGAGGCCAGAGCUCCUGGCCUGGGACAGUGAGGCACAGGUCGGGCGAGCCUGCAGGCCUUCCCACGUCCUGUGCCUCUCUGGUCACCCUGCCAUCGGAGGGUAAUGGGUCUCAGUCCUGAGGAGCUUAGGCCAGUCCUUCCCGCUGUGGGUUGAGUCCAGGACUGGAGGAGAGGAAAUAAAAUUCCAUUCUUACAAUCAGGUCGAUACUUGUCGGGGUGUGGCUGUGGCUGAGGGCAGAAUCAGUAUCCCAUCAGCCUGGGUCUACAACGUGAACUUCUUUUAUCUUCAGAGGAGCACAAAACUGGUCACCUGAAAUAACACAGUCAGACGCGAUUUCUAGUGGUCUGCUUGUCUCAUCGUGCGAGGCCAUGGUUCGCCCUGUCCUACUUUCCAGCUGUACGUGUUGUGAAGUCGAGUGGCAGUGAACCGAGCAAGUUGCCGCUGAGUGUGAGUGAUCUCUGUGCGUACAGAGUGCACACUGAGCAAGCCUUCCUGCUCAGCUGGGCUGCAGUGAUGCUGCUGCUUUUCUUCUUCCUUGAAUUACCACCGAGAGGAGUUUUCUCCCCAGGAUUUUUUUCUUGUCCAGAUUUAGGUAAGAAGGUGGUCACUGUCUGUGUCUUUCAGUGGAUCCCUGAAGUGCCCCGGAGGUGGCUGAACUGAGCCGGCAGAGCCGCGGCCGUACCGUGCCAUCUCUGUGUGAUGAACGUUGAGCUGAGGGCCUCAGGGAAGAUGCCUCCGAGCCAUGAACACCCACCUCCAGUCAAAGUGCAGACAGACGAGUGCUUUGAGCUGCCGACUGACCAAGCUCACGGGCCUGAGACGGGCUUUCGGCACUGCUGGACUAGACCAGGCCCAUCUGACCCGACAGCUUGUACUGGUUCUGUUUGCUGUCCUCAGAAGAUGGAGCACCUAGCGCAGACGUCUGCAUGGAGUCUGUGCGCACACGACGUGGUUCAUUAACACUGCACUACCUGGUAUCAUGAGCCUGUAAGCCACACGUGACUGGACGCUCUCACAAGGGAAGGUUUUCUCAUAAAUACAAGACCUCAUGCUCCGUCAUUCUCCCUCUCUUUCCUAUCCAAAUAACAGGUCC
ensembl:lncRNA